rnacentral:rRNA from 1 species
GACGAACGCUGGCGGCGUGCUUAACACAUGCAAGUCGAACGGAAAGGCCCUGCUUUUGUGGGGUGCUCGAGUGGCGAACGGGUGAGUAACACGUGAGUAACCUGCCCUUGACUUUGGGAUAACUUCAGGAAACUGGGGCUAAUACCGGAUAGGAGCUCCUGCUGCAUGGUGGGGGUUGGAAAGUUUCGGCGGUUGGGGAUGGACUCGCGGCUUAUCAGCUUGUUGGUGGGGUAGUGGCUUACCAAGGCUUUGACGGGUAGCCGGCCUGAGAGGGUGACCGGCGACAUUGGGACUGCGGUACGGCCCAGACUCCUACGGGAGGCAGCAGUGGGGAAUAUGGCACAAUGGGCGGAAGCCUGAUGCAGCAACGCCGCGUGCGGGAUGACGGCCUUCGGGUUGUAAACCGCUUUCGCCUGUGACGAAGCGUGAGUGACGGUAAUGGGUAAAGAAGCACCGGCUAACUACGUG